rnacentral:rRNA from 1 species
AACGAACGCUGGCGGCAUGCCUAACACAUGCAAGUCGAACGAGACCUUCGGGUCUAGUGGCGCACGGGUGCGUAACGCGUGGGAACCUGCCCUUAGGUUCGGAAUAACUCCCCGAAAGGGGUGCUAAUACCGGAUAAUGUCUUCGGACCAAAGAUUUAUCGCCUUUGGAUGGGCCCGCGUUGGAUUAGCUAGUUGGUAGGGUAAAAGCCUACCAAGGCGACGAUCAUUAGCUGGUCUGAGAGGAUGGUCAGCCACACUGGGACUGAGACACGGCCCAGACUCCUACGGGAGGCAGCAGAGGGGAAUAUUGGACAAUGGGCGAAAGCCUGAACCAGCAAUGCCGCGUGAGUGAUGAAGGCCUGAGAGUUGUAAAGCUCUUUUACCCGGGAUGAUAAUGACAGUACCGGGAGAAUAAGCUCCGGCUAACUCCGUG